AUUGAACGCUAGCGGGAUGCUUUACACAUGCAAGUCGAACGAGUGGCGGACGGGUGAGUAAUAUAUCGGAACGUGCCCAGUAGCGGGGGAUAACUACUCGAAAGAGUGGCUAAUACCGCAUACAAUGGGACGGCCCGUAAUCGGAUUAGCUAUUGGGUGGGGUAAAGGCUCACCAAGGCAACGAUCCGUAGCGGGUUUGAGAGGACGACCAGCCACACUGGGACUGAGACACGGCCCAGACUCCUACGGGAGGCAGCAGUGGGGAAUUUUGGACAAUGGGGGAAACCCUGAUCCAGCCAUCCCGCGUGUAUGAGAAGGCCUUCGGGUUGUAAAGUACUUUUGGCAGAGAAGCGGUAUCUGCAGAAUAAGCACCGGCUAACUACGUGCCAGCAGCCGCGGUAAUAC
rnacentral:rRNA from 1 species